AACGAACGCUGGCGGCAGGCUUAACACAUGCAAGUCGAACGCCCCGCAAGGGGAGUGGCAGACGGGUGAGUAACACGUGGGAACAUGCCCAAAGGUACGGAAUAUUCUCGGGAAACUGGG
rnacentral:rRNA from 1 species